rnacentral:rRNA from 1 species
CCUACGGGCGGCUGCAGUGAGGAAUAUUGGUCAAUGGUCGGGAGACUGAACCAGCCAAGCCGCGUGAGGGAUGAAGGUACAGAGUAUCGUAAACCUCUUUUGUCAGGGAACAAAGGCGGGGACGUGUCCCCGGAUGAGUGUACCUGAAGAAAAAGCAUCGGCUAACUCCGUGCCAGCAGCCGCGGUAAUACGGAGGAUGCGAGCGUUAUCCGGAUUUAUUGGGUUAAAAGGGUGCGCAGGCGGUCUUUUAAGGCAGCGGUAAAAGCCCGGGGCUCAACCCCGGCCCGCCGUUGAAACUGGCAGUCUCGAGUUGGAGAGAAGUAUGCGGAAUGCGCGGUGUAGCGGUGAAAUGCAUAGAUAUCGCGCAGAACUCCGAUUGCGAAGGCAGCAUGCCGGCUCCACACUGACGCUGAGGCACGAAAGCGUGGGUAUCGAACAGGAUUAGAUACUCUUGUAGUC